CAUUGAGUCAGUCAAAAAUGACCCCAUAUUGAUCUGGUUUCUACUCUUUUGGCUAAAAUCCACAGUUUAAUACCAUUUGGAAAUGGUAUUACUUUGGGAAAGUUACUGCCUUCAUUCAUAAUUACCUUAAUUAUCAGUUAUUCUUUGAGAAUGUUGGAACAUGGAUAUUGGCUGACAAUUAUAUGACUUAAUCUCGCAUUGAACAUUGUCCAGAUGUAAUAUGGUGAUGCAUGGAGUCACUUCUUUACAUUUGGGUUGAAUUUGAACUAACGACAUUCUUUCAACAAGAAAAGACUUUAAUGAUCAAUUUUCUGGAAUAAUUCAGAUUCUGAUAACUCAGUUGAUGUAUUCUAUUCUUCAAAAAUCUCAACAUAUAAGGCUUUAAUAUCAGAAUAAAAACUACUCUAUGGACACACUCUGAUAAGAUACAGCACCUGAGGAGGAAAUAGAUUAGUAGCGUCAAAGAAGCCUCUACCGUUUCCUUGGAGAAAAAUCUACCUUUGUCACUCAAUGAACUUAGGUUUAUGAUAAAGACUGGAUGAUAUUUUCCAUGAAGAAAUUCUCCCAUAGGUUCAUGGGUUAUGUGGAGAUCUCAUCUUAUGUCUUAUAAUUAUGCAAAUGUCAAGAAGACUUUAUUAGAAGGUAAAUUAAAGUUUGAAGAUGGUCAAAAAUGAAAAAAGAACCCAGAAAAAGUAAUAUCUUCAAAACCGCUGAUUUGCAUGUUUUGGCGAGGAGAUUUCUUUUUUUAACA